rnacentral:rRNA from 1 species
UGGGGGGUGAUGAAGGCCNUCGGGUUGUAAACCGCUUUUGUCAGAGACGAAAAGGGACGUACGAAUAAUACGUUCCGCUGACGGUAUCUGAAGAAUAAGCACCGGCUAACUACGUGCCAGCAGCCGCGGUAAUACGUAGGGUGCAAGCGUUAAUCGGAAUUACUGGGCGUAAAGCGCGCGUAGGCGGCUUGAUUCAAGUCGGAUGUGAAAUCCCGGGCUUAACCUGGGUUCUGCAUUCGAAACUGUCUUGCUAGAGUAUGGGAGAGGGAAGUGGAAUUUCAGGUGUAGCGGUGAAAUGCGUAGAUGUCUGAAGGAACAUCAGUGGCGAAAGCGACUUCCUGGACCAAUACUGACGCUCAGGUGCGAAAGCGUGGGGAGCAAACAGGAUUAGAUACCCUGGUAGUCCACGCCAUAAACGAUGAGAACUGGAUGUUGGGAGGAUUAGCCUCUCGGUGUCGUAGCUAACGCGUUAAGUUCUCCGCCUGGGGAGUACGGC